UGGGAAAUUUCGUAAACCUCGCGAGAACGCGCCCGCCGUUGCCUAUGCUUUCUCCCCAAAUCUCGCGGAGCCCAAGCGAGACAGGUUAAUAAAUAGUACAGAAGAUUGAAAGAGUGGCAAGAAGGAUUUCAUCAGACUGUGCAAUUCUGUGAGGAAAAUAAGCUCUAACUCUAGGAUUACAAGAAAUGAAGAGAACACUGAAAAUGAAUCAUGGAAGGGGCUUCAGGAGAACUUGAAAAAUAAAAGCCCAAGUCAAGCUUUGCUUAACUUGCUAACAUAUGCAGCAGUUCAAGAAGGUGAAACAAGAAAAGGCACGGGCCGUUUACUCCAGUGACGUGGAACGAGAAUAGAAUCAAAUGCACAUUUCAUGAGAAGAAUGUGUACAAAUCUAAUAAUUUGUCAGAAGUUUUCAUAGCUAACGUAAUUGGAAGAAAAUGUUACCAUGUGUGAUUGAUAUAUCUUGUUCUUUAUAUGUCAUGAGCAAGAUAAAGCCAGUUAACCCUGACUAUACAAAAAAUGACAACACCAUAUGAAUCAUAAAAUUCCAGUGAUCUGUUUGUAAAGGACUAUAUCUAAACUUUGAUUUCCUAAACUUUCCCUUUUGCCAUGUAUCAUAGAUUGUAGUGGUCUGAGUUUCUGUGUUGAGGCAAUGUUGCACACCCAUAGUUAAAAAAACACACAGCUGGGGUAUGAAGGAAAGAGCACUGGACUGCCUCAACCACUGAGUCCUUCCUUCUCCACUGGCCAGCUGCCUACCUUUGGGCUAGCUAAGUUUUCCUUGUCUGCAAAAUGGGAAACGUAUUGCUUAGGGUCAUUUUGAGAAUUAGCUGAGAUAUUCCAUGAAAUUGCUGGGUACACAGUAGGUGCUCAGUAAAUGUUACUUCUUUAGGAUAUACUCCCACUCACACCCAAUGCUCGGUAUUGUUUUCUAUUUGACGGACUAAUGCUACCUGCCUUACAGAUUUGUUGCACAGGUCAAGUUAGAUAAUUAUGGAAAUAAUUAAAUAGAACUGUCUUCAAAUAAAUUAAUUGUAUUUAUU